rnacentral:sRNA from 1 species
UAGAAGCGUUAGGGAUCGCAGUGAAAAUCCUUUUUACAGCAAUCCUCAUAAAGGAAUUGCUGUAAAAAGAUUGCAACAAAGAGCCCGACCAUCA